rnacentral:rRNA from 1 species
GGUUGAUCCUGCCAGUAGUCAUAUGCUUGUUAUAAAAAUUAAGCCAUGCAGAUGUAAGUUUAAAUGAAUUUAAAUUGUGAAACUGUGAAUGGCUCAUUAAAACAGUAAUAAUUUAAUUGAUGAAUAAGAUUUCUUUUUGAAGUUUUUAUAUGGAUAACUGUAGAAAACUAGAGCUAAUACAUGGCAAAAUUGUGCUCUCUCUGGGGGUGCAAGUAUUUAUUAGUGGAAAAAACGUUCUUUUUGAGGAUGAAUCAUAAUAAUUAGACGAAUCAUUCUGGUCGUUUCGGCGGCUGUGAAUGAUAGAUCAUUCAAAUUUCUGCCCGAUCAACUUUCGAUGGUAGUGUAGUGGACUACCAUGGUGAUCACCGGUAACGGGGAAUUAGGGUUUGGUGCCGGAGAAGGCGCCUGAGAGAUGGCGACUACAAUUACGAUUGGCAGCAGGCGUGAAACUUACCCAAUUUUAACAAAUAAAAGAGGUAGUGACAUGAAAUAUCAAUAUUUUAGUUUUUAAAGCUAGAAUAAUUGGAAUGAGAAAAAGAUAAAAGUAAUAUCGAGUAACAAAUGGAGGGAAAAUUUGGUGCCAGCAGCCGCGGUAAUACCAGUUCCAUAAGUGUAUAUUAAAGUUGUUGCAGUUGAAAAGCUCGUAGUUGGAAUGGAGUUGUUGUGGGUCGGUGAUGUGGGCGAAAGUCCAUGUUGCUGGCGCAUGGCAGCUGAUAUAAGGCAUGUAUUGUGGGCGUUCAUUCAUUUGGGCGUUCAUCAGCAGUAUAUGCAUUUUACUAUUAAAAAAUUAGAAAGUUUCAAUUAGAUUGUAAUUGGAUUUUUGAAUAGUCGAAGAAUGGUAUAAUAGAAUAGGAUUUUGGAAUCAGUUUGGAAUGUUAGAUGAUUCUAGAGUAAUGAUUAAUAGAGAUAGAUGGAGAUAUUUGUAUUUGAUGGCUAGAGGUGAAAUUCUUGGAUUCUUCAAAGACAAACUAAAGCGAAAGCAUUUAUCAAGUAUAUGCUCGUUAAUCAAGAACUAAAGUAAAGGGAUCAAAGAUGAUUAGAUACCGUCGUAGUCUUUACUAUAAACUAUGCCGAUUAGGGAUCUAUUUUAUUACGUAUUUUAUGUAGGUUGAAAUAGGAACCUUGUGAGAAAUCAUAAAUGUUUGGGUUCUGGGGGAAGUACGAGACGCAAGAUUGAAACUUAAAGGAAUUGACGGAAGAGCACCACAAGGAGUGGAUUUUGCGGCUCAAUUUGACUCAACACGGGGAAACUUACUAGGGUAGGACACACGAAGGAUUGACAGAUUGAUGGUUCUUUCGAGAUUGUGUGGAAGGUGGUGCAUGGCCGUUUUCAGUUCGUGGUUUGAGUUGGCUGGUUAAUUCCGAUAACGAACGAGAUUUCAUUUCUUAACUAAACCUGUUCUUUACUAGGGCUUCGGUUCUAGAGAAGGAUGGACAAAAGGUUUACUUAAGAAGACGAGAGAGGAAAACUCUUUGGAAGCGUGAAGCCAGAACAGGUCUGUAUGCCCUUAGAUAUCCUAGGAUGCACGCGCGAUACAAUGACUAGGGCAGUGAGUAAAGGAUGGGCAAGCCUUCGGGUGAGUUCAUUGAAUCAUGUUUGAGAGGACAUGAUAAUCUUUUGAAACCUAGUCAAAUUUGGGAUAAAAGAUUGUAAUUAUUCUUUUUGAACGAGGAACUCCUAGUAAUUCUAAGUCAACAGCUUGGGAUGAAUGCGUCCCUGCUUUUUGUACACACCGCCCGUCGCUGCAUCUGAUUGAUUUAUAGAUUGAAAUGAUUGGAUUUUGGAUAUCUCUUCUUGGGAUAGAGAAAGAUGUUCAGUGAAUUCUAUAAGUUAGAGGAAGCAAAAGUCGUAACAAGGUUUCCGUAGGUGAACCUGCGGAAGGAUC